UAGGGAAUCUUCGGCAAUGGACGAAAGUCUGACCGAGCAACGCCGCGUGAGUGAAGAAGGUUUUCGGAUCGUAAAACUCUGUUGUUAGAGAAGAACAAGGACGUUAGUAACUGAACGUCCCCUGACGGUAUCUAACCAGAAAGCCACGGCUAACUACGUGCCAGCAGCCGCGGUAAUACGUAGGUGGCAAGCGUUGUCCGGAUUUAUUGGGCGUAAAGCGAGCGCAGGCGGUUUCUUAAGUCUGAUGUGAAAGCCCCCGGCUCAACCGGGGAGGGUCAUUGGAAACUGGGAGUCUUGAGUGCAGAAGAGGAGAGUGGAAUUCCAUGUGUAGCGGUGAAGUGCGUAGAUAUAUGGAGGAACACCAGUGGCGAAGGCGGCUCGCUGGUCUGUAACUGACGAUGAGGAUCGAAAGCGUGGGGAGCAAACAGG
rnacentral:rRNA from 1 species